AGGGCGGGGCGCUGUCUCACCUGGCACGGAGCCGGCUCUCUUUGCCCAGCGCCCCUCCCCCUGCCUGGCGAGGGCAGGGCUGAGCCGGAAAGAGCCCAAGGCGGGUGCUGUGGCUCCCGGGCAGCCUGGGGGCCGAGUGCGGCUCCCCACCGCCGACCUCUGGCACCUGGUCCUGCUUGUGAGUGACUAAGCGGUUUCUCCUCCGAGGUAGCUGUCUGCCAGGAGGCCCCACUGGCCGUGGAACUGCACCAGGAUGCCCAGAGCUGCACGCGCAAAACCCGUAAUUAGCGAGUCCCCUUCUUGGGAAAGAAAACCCCUCCAUGUUUUGUUUUGUUUUAUUUUCCCCUUAAAUGAAACAAAUCCACCCACGCAGUUACUGGAAACGCAAGCAUGUGAAACUGAGCCGUUUGCAGAGAGAAUUAGUCAGCAACCUUGUGCGCAGGGCGCUCUGGGAGGCGGGCCGCCCUGGCCCCUGAGGCUCCCCAGCCCGGAGGGGGACCAGGUGACUCUGACUUCCCAAAGGCCCACAGUGUCCUCCCAAGGCCAGGCGAUGCCCCGGCAGGGGGUCACGUUUAGGGCACCCGGUGCCCAGGGCCAAUUACCUGGCAGCGGAUGGAGGGCUGCAGAGCGAAGGAGAGGCCUGAAGCCCUGGCUUGGAAUCAACCUCACCUUCGCAUCGCACCCCAUGAGGAGCUGGACCUCAGCCACUUGCCACUGGAAAUACCCACCGGAAGCAUCCCUUGGGGAGGUAAUUAAAGCCUGAAGCUGAGGGCUGAUUUUUCCUGGACAGAAA
rnacentral:lncRNA from 1 species